CCUACGUGUGGCAGCAGUGGGGAAUAUUGCACAAUGGGGGAAACCCUGAUGCAGCGACGCCGCGUGAGUGAAGAAGUAUCUCGGGACGUAAAGCUCUAUCAGCAGGGAAGAUCAUGACGGUACCUGACCAAGAUGCCCCGGCUAACUACGUGCCAGCAACCGCGGUAAUACGUAGGGGGCAAGCGUUAUCCGGAUUUACUGGGUGUAAGGGGUGCGUAGACGGCAGCACAAGUCUGGAGUGAAAUCCCGGGGCUUAACCCCGGAACUGCAUUUGAAACUGUGCGGCUUGAGUGCAGGAGGGGUAAUCGGAAUUCCUAGUGUAGCGGUGAAAUGCGUAGAUAUUAGGAGGAACACCGGUGGCGAAGGCGGCUUACUGGACUGUAACUGACGUUGAGGCACGAAAGCGUGGGUAUCGAACAGGAUUAGAUACCCGAGUAGUC
rnacentral:rRNA from 1 species